rnacentral:ribozyme from 1 species
GCAAUAAGUAAGAUUCUAAAAAAAACGAAAAAAAAAACGAAAACGAAAAAAAAACGACAUACUUAUUUAUUUGUUGUU